ACCGGCAGCUCAAGUGGUGGCCAUUUUUAUUGGGCCUAAAGCGUUCGUAGCCGGUUUGAUAAGUCUCUGGUGAAAUCCCGCAGCUUAACUGUGGGACUUGCUGGAGAUACUAUUAGACUUGAGGUCGGGAGAGGUUAGGGGUACCCCCAGGGUAGGGGUGAAAUCCUAAAAACCUGGGGGGACCACCUGUGGCGAAGGCGGCUUACUUGAACGAACCUGGCGGUGGAUUACGAAAGCCAGGGGCGGCAACCG
rnacentral:rRNA from 1 species